rnacentral:rRNA from 1 species
AUUGAACGCUGGCGGCAGGCCUAACACAUGCAAGUCGAACGAGUGGCGGACGGGUGAGUAAUGUCUGGGAAACUGCCCGAUGGAGGGGGAUAACUACUGGAAACGGUAGCUAAUACCGCAUACCAUCGGAUGUGCCCAGAUGGGAUUAGCUAGGAGGUGGGGUAACGGCUCACCUAGGCGACGAUCCCUAGCUGGGCUGAGAGGAUGACCAGGCACACUGGAACUGAGCCCCGGUCCAGAGUCCUACGUGGGGGAGCAUUGGGGAAUAUUGCACAAUGGGCGCAAGCCUGAAGCAGCCAUGCCGCGUGUAUGAAGAAGGCCUUCGGGUUUUAAAGUACUUUCAGCGGGGAGUCGUUACCCGCAGAAGGAGCACCGGCUAACUCCGUGCCAGCAGGCGCGGUGAUAC